rnacentral:rRNA from 1 species
GAUGAACGCUGGUGGCGUGCCUAAUACAUGCAAGUCGAGCGAACAGAUAAGGAGCUUGCUCCUUUGACGUUAGCGGCGGACGGGUGAGUAACACGUGGAUAACCUACCUAUAAGACUGGGAUAACUUCGGGAAACCGGAGCUAAUACCGGAUAACAUAUUGAACCGCAUGGUUCAAUAGUGAAAGGCGGCUUUGCUGUCACUUAUAGAUGGAUCCGCGCCGUAUUAGCUAGUUGGUAAGGUAACGGCUUACCAAGGCAACGAUACGUAGCCGACCUGAGAGGGUGAUCGGCCACACUGGAACUGAGACACGGUCCAGACUCCUACGGGAGGCAGCAGUAGGGAAUCUUCCGCAAUGGGCGAAAGCCUGACGGAGCAACGCCGCGUGAGUGAUGAAGGUCUUCGGAUCGUAAAACUCUGUUAUCAGGGAAGAACAAAUGUGUAAGUAACUGUGCACAUCUUGACGGUACCUGAUCAGAAAGCCACGGCUAACUACGUG